rnacentral:misc_RNA from 1 species
ACUUGCUCCUGAGGAAUGCCCAUCACUUGCUGUGAAUGUGGGCCUUGCAGCAAAGCUCCUGCUUGUGAUUCAGAGUGGUUGUAAUCCUGUCUUGAAGCAGCAAUCUGCAGAGCUUUUGAAGCUGUGUAGUCUAAAUUACAUGGAUAGCAUGUUCAUUUCUAAGUGCAAGCUUAUAAAGACAAUCCAAUGAGAGGAAAGUUUUAAAUGUUGAGAUAUGCGCAGCCCCUCGAGACAUUGCAGAAAGAAGAAUUCAUUGGUGGCCAGAUUUGAGACAACGAAUUAUCUCAAACAUCUGGCAUAUGAAAUGGG